rnacentral:misc_RNA from 1 species
GAUGAAGAACGCAGUGAAAUGCGAUAAGUAAUGUGAAUUGCAGAAUUCAGUGAAUCAUCGAAUCUUUGAACGCACAUUGCGCCCCUUGGUAUUCCGAGGGGCAUGCCCGUUCGAGCGUCAUUAUACCCCUCAAGCCUAGCUUGGUGUUGGGGCCUGCUGUUACCGGCAGCCCUUAAAAUCAGUGGCGGUGCCAUCUGGCUCUAAGCGUAGUAAUACUUCUCGCUACAGGGUCCCGGUGGAUGCUUGCCAUCAACCCCUAAUUUUCUAUGGUUGACCUCGGAUCGGGUAGGGAUACCCGCUGAACUUAAGCAUAACAAUAAGCGGAGGA